CUGUUCUCCAAGAUUUCUUUAACUUCAACCCCUAAAGUUGUGUUUUUGGUCUGCUCUCAAUUUUAAGAUUUUUCCCAUGGGAAUUUCAAAAAACUUCUCACCUCUAAUUGCUUUUCCUAGGACUGAUGGUGGAGAGAAGGUUAAAUGAUAGGAAAAGGAGACUGCUCAGUAUCCCUGUAUCCUCUUGAACUAGGUCCCCAGUGAUUUCUCCUUUUGUCCCUUUGUCACUGAUAUUCUUGGCUUUGGCUACCAACCAGAAGCUCUGGACAACUGACUUUGGCUUUGUCUUUCAACUGGAUUUGGGAGGCACCUUCCCUCUCCGGAGAGACACCUGCUGAUCGUUGCUUUGGCUUACUACUCAGCUGCUGGGUAAUAUUUAUUCACAGAAUUUCUGCCUGGGGAUUUGAUUACAGCCUAAAUCUCUGUUAUGGUUUGGAUCUAAAAUAUCCCCUAAUGCCAUGUGUUGAAGGCAGGGUUGCCAGCCAGUAGUGAUAUUGGGAGGCAGUGGUACCUUUAGGAGGUGGGGCCUAGCUGGCGGAAGUGACAUCACUUGGGGGCGUGGCCUUGAAAGGGAUAUUGGAACCUCAGCUGUUUCCCUCUCUCCUUACUUCCUGGCCUCCUUGAGGCGGGCAGCUUUGCGACUCCCUACCUUGAUUUCUGCCUCAGGCCUAGAAGUCCCCGGAGUAAGCAACCACAAACUGAAACCUCCGAAGCUGUGAAAUAAAACAAAUCUUUCCUUUCUUCACAUUGGUUCUCCCCAGGUAUUUGUCACAGAGAUGGCAAGCUGGCAGUCCCUCUGGUUGUGGCUAAAGUUCUUUCCCCUUCAUUUUAUCCUUGGUAAGGGAGCAUGCCCACUUUCACAAAAACUCCUGGCAGAUGGAUGAAAGAGAGCCUCUCCAUUUGUAUUUGAAAAACAAACAAAAGAGCAAAAAAUUGUUCUCUUCUAUCUUAUUCCAGAUAAAGAAUAGCUGGAGAUCUUGGAGUCAGGUGAAUGAGAUGGCUUCUCAGCUCUUGACAUUUGCCACCUUAUCGAAGGCAGCAGUUCUUUGGAUUCAAAGCAUCAUCCAAAAUGGCUGA
rnacentral:lncRNA from 1 species